ACUCGAGUCUUUGACGCAAGUUGCGCCCAAAGCCAUUAGGCCGAGGGCACGCCUGCCUGGGUGUCACACAUCGUCAUCCCCAUGCAAAUGCGCAUUGGGGUGAAAGUUGGCCUCCCGCGAAACAUUUGUUGUGGUUGGUCGAAAACCAAGGUAAUGUCGGGGUCCCCCCGCGAGAAACGGUGGAUGAGCAACGCUCGAGACCAACGGCGGUGGCGGACACUCGGUACACCAAUUGGUGGGCCCUAUUGUGUUUUUGGAAAAAAUCAAAGACGCUCAUAAAGAGACCUCAGGUCAGGCGGGGCUACCCGCUGAGUUUAAGCAUAUCAAUAAGCGGAGGAAAAGAAACUAACAAGGAUUCCCUUAGUAACGGCGAGCGAACCGGGAACAGCCCACCAUGAGAAUCGGUCGCCUCUGGCGUUCGAAUUGUAGUCUG
rnacentral:rRNA from 1 species